GCGGCAGCCGGAGCAGCGGGGAAAUGUAGCCCCUUCCCUUUCCCCUUCCCCUUCGGCGGCUGGAAGGCAGAAGUCGCGCUGUCACAUGGCCCCCGGCCGGCGCGGCAGGCAGGCAGGGAGGGAAGGCGGGGAGGGAGCCCAGCCCCACCUGGAUUCGCCUCAGCGGUGCCGCCUUCCCGAGCGCCUGGUUCAAAACUCCUCGAAAAGCGCUUUAACGUAGAAAACUUGGGUUCGAGACCAGAAAGUCGGGAGUAACUCUGAAUGUCUUCAUCAGCUGCUGCUGGCAACACCCUGACAAAGUAUCUGCCACCCAGAAAACCACAUACUCUUGGCACAUCAGUCUUGCCUCUGUACUCGAUUUAAUCUCUUCUGUGGGAUGCAAGAGCUUGGCAGAGUUCCCUCCCGUGCUGACUUUGUGCCAACCGCAGUGAAAAAAUAACGGUUUGGAAGAUAACUGUGUUUCUCAGCUUUCUUACGCACAAACGGGCAGCUCCAGCGGAGAGUGAAGAGAGAACUUUGCAGUGUGAGCUCACGUAUUAACAAAGCCAGAGAAUUCACACAGAAAGGAGACCUUAAAAUGUCUUAGUAAAGAAAGGCUUCUACAAGCACUGAAGCACAAAUCCCUAAGUGUAUAGGACACAGGGCACUUGUUGUAGGCGACCGUGAGUAUUUAAAUGAGCUUGCCUUUUGUAACAAAUUGGAAAACUUCAAAAGGAAACUGAGAUCAUAGAUGAGUAAAUGCAUCUACAGUACUUGAAGCAUUAAGAAAAUACUAUUGCAAGAUCUGUAAUAAAGCCGGGUGGAUUGUAAGGGUAGGGUAACGGGAAUAAAUUAACAAGAAAAUGC